GACGAACGCUGGCGGCGUGCUUAACACAUGCAAGUCGAACGCUGAAGACCUGGCUUUUGUUGGGUUGGAUGAGUGGCGAACGGGUGAGUAACACGUGAGUAACCUGCCCUCUUCUUUGGGAUAACGCCCGGAAACGGGUGCUAAUACUGGAUAUUCACUGGCCUUCGCAUGGGGGUUGGUGGAAAGGGUUGUUCUGGUGGGGGAUGGGCUCGCGGCCUAUCAGCUUGUUGGUGGGGUGAUGGCCUACCAAGGCUUUGACGGGUAGCCGGCCCGCGAGGGUGACCGGUCAUGUGAGGACUGAGAUACGGCCCGGACCCCUGCGGGGGCCCGCAGUGGGGAGGAUUGCACCAUGGGCGAAAGCCUGAUGCUGCGCCGCAGCGUGAGGGAUCGAGGCCUUCGGGUUGUAAACCUCUUUCGGUCAUGGUCAAGCCGCCACUGUGGGUUGUGGUGAGGGUAGUGGGUAAAGAAGCGCCGGCUAACUACGUG
rnacentral:rRNA from 1 species